rnacentral:rRNA from 1 species
GACGAACGCUGGCGGCGUGCUUAACACAUGCAAGUCGAACGGAAAGGCUCCAGCUUGCUGGAGUACUCGAGUGGCGAACGGGUGAGUAACACGUGGGUGAUCUGCCCUGCACUUCGGGAUAAGCCUGGGAAACUGGGUCUAAUACCGGAUAGGACCGCACUUUGGUGUGUGUGGUGGAAAGGUUUUUCUGGUGUGGGAUGAGCUCGCGGCCUAUCAGUUUGUUGGUGGGGUAAUGGCCUACCAAGACGGCGACGGGUAGCCGGCCUGAGAGGGUGGACGGUCACAUUGGGACUGAGAUACGGCCCAGACUCCUACGGGAGGCAGCAGUGGGGAAUAUUGAACAAUGGGGGAAACCCUGAUGCAGCGACGCCGCGUGGGGGAUGAAGGCCUUCGGGUUGGAAACUCCUUUCGCUAGGGACGAAGCUUUUUGUGACGGUACCUGGAGAAGAAGCACCGGCUAACUACGUG